CACUGCCGAGAAAAGCCUCUAGAUAGAAAAUAGGUGCCCGUACCGCAAACCGACACAGGUAGUCAAGAUGAGAAUUCUAAGGUGAGCGAGCGAACUCUCGUUAAGGAACUCGGCAAAAUGACCCCGUAACUUCGGGAGAAGGGGUGCUCUUUAGGGUUAACGCCCAGAAGAGCCGCAGUGAAUAGGCCCAAGCGACUGUUUAUCAAAAACACAGGUCUCUGCUAAACCGUAAGGUGAUGUAUAGGGGCUGACGCCUGCCCGGUGCUGGAAGGUUAAGAGGAGUGGUUAGCUUCUGCGAAGCUACGAAUCGAAGCCCCAGUAAACGGCGGCCGUAACUAUAACGGUCCUAAGGUAGCGAAAUUCCUUGUCGGGUAAGUUCCGACCCGCACGAAAGGCGUAACGAUUUGGGCACUGUCUCAACGAGAGACUCGGUGAAAUCAUAGUACCUGUGAAGAUGCAGGUUACCCGCGACAGGACGGAAAGACCCCGUGGAGCUUUACUGUAGCCUGAUAUUGAAAUUCGGCACAGCUUGUACAGGAUAGGUAGGAGCCUUUGAAACGUGAGCGCUAGCUUACGUGGAGGCGCUGGUGGGAUACUACCCUAGCUGUGUUGGCUUUCUAACCCGCACCACUUAUCGUGGUGGGAGACAGUGUCAGGCGGGCAGUUUGACUGGGGCGGUCGC
rnacentral:rRNA from 1 species